GUUCAUUACCAUUAAUUUUUAUCAAUAAGAAGCUAUAUCCAUAACAUGCUAUAUCGAUCAAGGAGUUCUCAGGGCUACCAACCUUACAGUAGGGGAUGAGAAGUAGUAUAUUUCUUCUACAUUA
rnacentral:snoRNA from 1 species